rnacentral:tRNA from 1 species
GCACGCAUAGCUCAGUCGGUAGAGCACAUCCUUGGUAAGGAUGAGGUCAUCGGUUCGAUCCCGAUUGCGUGCU